ACUAUUAACAGAAGAAACACUCUUGAAAACUCGGCUAAUAAUCUGUGUGGCCUUUAAAAGUAGUCGUGGUGAGAGAACAAAGCGUCUCAGAACACAGACAAGUACUGCCGCGCACCACCAAUAAUAACACCACGACCCCACCAAUGGCAACAACUUCCCUUACGUUUUUAUAAUCAGCAAAGGCUUUCUCCUUUAUCACCCGGCACCCUCACAGUACCCAACAAACACAUCAUCAAAGCCCCAUAACUAAUAAUGACAACUUCGCUUACAGUUUAUAAUCAGCAAACGUUUUCUGUUUUAUCGCCGGAAAUAUUGACAAAUCAUGUUGCAAAUGCAGUGUCGUCGUACUGAGCGAGAUUAAGGCGCAUUUCCAGGCCAUAAAUUAACAAAAACGCUCUUUCCUUAACGGAUAUUGACAAGUUACGAUGCUGACAGAGUGCUGACAUGCUGAGCGAGGCUGUUGAGAUGCAUUUCCUGGCUAUAAAGGAACUUCCUGUAUACUUGGUGCAUGAGGGAAGACUCGUGUGACAAUGACCGUUCGUAUGUGGCAGCGUGACGUGUUCAAUUUCCCAGCAAGCUAAAGCCAGUCAGUGUGUCGCAACACCCAGACAACCCUUACUGUCGUUAUCUUAUUUCAUGUUGGCAGUGUGAUGUGUUCAAUUUCCCAGCAAGCUAGUCGUAGGAUUCACAUAACCCUCACUGGCGUUAUCUUAGUUCAUAGUGGAAGUGUGACGUGUUCAGUUCCCCAGCAAGCUAAAGUCAGUCAGCCAGUAAGCCGUAACACUCAGACAACCCUCACUGGCGUUAUCUUGAUUGUUUCCUCGCGUCACGCCGUCAACUGGAACGUGUAUUGCGGGCCGCGUGCAAGACAUGACUCGGAGGUUGUAGGUAUGAUGCACGUGUUGCGAGAGAACCCACGAGGAGCCGAGAGGAGGCGAGAGCAGCCGCGGACAUCACACCAGCGCCGCAGCAAGGAGGAAAACAGCUGGAGCGAAGCGAAUGUUACUGGCUUGGUGUGAUUAAGGCAGCACCGCGACCAAUGAGAACCCACAGCCUGGCGCCGCUAUCUGGUGUCCUCGAAGCGGCAGCACGUGGCGAGGCAGUUGCGGGCAAGGCUACUACGCGGGUCUACCUUUAGUUCUCCCUUCUCGGCUGGCUCAGAGAAAACAGCGCUACAGGGGAGACUAAAUUGAGGACUUAACCUUCCUAGCGGGGAUGCAGCGCGGCGGUCAGCGAGUACAUGAACGAAAUAGAUUGGGAGAGAAUAUGGCAAAGGAGAGAGUGGGUUACUGAAUACUGCAGGAGUGGCUGAUGCUGCAGCGAGUGUGGUGGCCUGCUUCUCCCCCCUGCCUCAUUCCUCCAUGCCCGUCAGGCAGGUCGGGCAGCGGUGUCGCCGGGCCCCCUGAGGCAAUGGAGACCUCUGGGGCACGGACAGUUAAUCAUAGGACGUGACAGGUAAUACACCUUGACUCAGCCGCGGCACCACGCCUCAUAAAUUAUAAAUAAUACACAAAACUAAGAUAAACGAGUGGAAAUUUAAUAAAAAUACAGAAUAAAAAUAACUUUCUUUUGAGACUGGCACUCUCAGGGGACCUAUACAUGACUUUUUGUUGCCCUUGGCCGGUGCCUCUCUUACAUAAAAAAAAAAAUACCUUUGUCUCAUCGUUGCCCAAGCCUCGUUUAAGCCUAAAUGACUGAACACCAGCACGACCUCGGAAAUGUGUCGGUGUGAAGGUGACACCACACAGUGCACACCACACACCACACCGCCACCUCUUCAAGACGCACCAUCAGGCUUCCCAUUACAGCUUCCUGGACGCUGGGCCCUUUCUCCCCUCCUCGCCUCUCCUCCCGGCCUCAUUCCUUCCUGCUUCACCCAUCGCCACACUCUCACCCCCCCCCCCAUCACACUCCCUCAUCACUGUCCCGCUGCCUCGCCUCAUAAAUACUCCGGCGGUGCGUGAGGGCGCAUCACAGUCUUCGCUGCUCAGUCCGUGUUACAAGGAAGGCCGAGGGUUCUAUAUACUUGAUAGUGAAGACAGGACGCUAAACACUUCUGUCAUCCUGAUUUUGAUUCCCUAAGUUAUUGUUGGCUUGCUGUCAGGUAUGGAAAAGCUUAGCAAUGAAGGAUUAAAAAGAAAAAAAAAAAGAGGCCUUGGAAUCAUAUGAAUCAGUAUUAGAUGACUGGACGCCUUACUGCAUAAAAGAGGUAGAGACAAAAACUAAGGCCAGAAUAAAUAACUUAGCUAAAGGUACCGAAGUCAUCAUUAUUUUUCAUUUUUUAUCACUCGUCACGUCCUUCCCUUGAGUCUCUCACCACCGCACUGCUUCCCUUCACUCCACACCCUCGCCUUUGCCUUCUCCAUGUGUGUGUGGACGAAGAUAAAAAUUUCCUUCCCCUCAAGAACACAGAAGCAAGACGGGCAGGAGAGCAUCGUCGGCGGUCGCUCAGAUGCCGCAGCUAUAAUCGAGAGGCAAGAAAAUUGGCCCAAAGGAUCACUAAGGAACGGAUGUAGCAGCGAGAAAUGGGGGACUUGGCGGGACCUCUGAACGGCGUCUUCCCAGGGGAAUGUAAAUCAACGACCAACUCCCUGUUAACCUUUUGACUCCGGCGGCUGAAAGUUAAGACGUCCGCCGUGUGUACUGCAGCAGAAGGGUGUCCUGGUGUUGGCUGUGGCCCUGUAGUUUGCUAUCUAUACAACAAACAGAGGCAGAGAACACCAUGUACGUGAACAAAACGGAACAAUAAAAACUACACAGGUUACCAAAUACCGUCCACACGCCUCACCUGCCCCGCGACGUGAACACCUGGCCGACUUGUCCUGCGUGGAUGAGUGGCGGCGGUGGAGGCGGAAGACGGCCGACGGUGGAUAGUAGAAGGGCUAGGGAGAGUGGAAAGGACGGGACACCACCACCACCACCACCACGCCCCUGGGUUAAGAAGCCGCACCUGGAGGAGUGAUUGGUGGGAGUCAGGGGAGUGAGGUAGGCCGAGGAGCAGAGCUGGGGCCUGAAAAUUGUGGAGUUGUCUGGUGUUAGCGUUCCCCUCGCAGUUAAGGAAGCCAUUGUGUCCUGCUGUUUUGCCCUUUGUAUGGUUCUUGCCUCCCAUUAGCGGGCUGAUAUUUCAUGUUUCACAGCCUGUCAUUACGACCACUGCCAAGGUGGGAGGGGAAGACCUGGAAACCCGGCUGUGGGGAGAAUGGGGGAGGGAAGGGGGCUGGGGACAGAAAUGAGAGGAUGGUGGGAUGGGAAAGACAAGAGAGGGAGAUGUGACGGAAAAACGAAUAGGUGGGAUAGGGAAGACACAAAAGGGAUAUGGAGUGAAAAAAAAAUGGAGAACAAGAGACAGGAAUAGGGAGGAGACAGUAGAGAGGAAUAGGGAGGAGGCAGAAGGGAGGAUAGGAGCAUGGAGAGCAAGGAGAGAAGGAACAGGAAGAAUGAAGAAGAGGAGGAUAGGAGAGAAAGAAGGACGGAAAGGUAGAAGUGUACAGUGAGGAGUAUGGAGGAGAGGAGGAAUAUGAAGUGUGAGUAUGAAAGAGAGGAGGACAGAAAGAUAAGACAGAAGGAUAGAGAAGGCAAGAAGAGGAGCAUGAAGGAGCAUCUUAUACUGACAAUACAUUAUCAGCACGGCAGCCAUCCCCGCAAGUCACCACCACCACCACCACCACCACCACCACAUCACCAAGCGGCCGCCUCACAAGUCCCACGAGGUGCACCAACACGCCUCACCAUCACCAUAAUGACAAUGCGAUCUUAACUAUGGCUGAUCAUCACCACCACCACCACCAUCACCACUAUCAUCACCACCACGACCACCACCUUCUCUCCCUUCUCCCGGAGCGCCACAAUACCCUUCUCCAUCUCCCAGUCCUCCUGUUUCUACACACAAUACACCUUCCGCUGCCUGACACGAGUGAUAAUCGUUAUAAUUAUGCAUGUUACUACUCCUCCUGCUAGUACUACCACCAUCACCACCACUGCCACUACUAUUACUACUACUAAUACUACUCUGUGUUAUUUAAUGUGUCUCACGUACCAGUAAGUACAUUUAAAACUACGUAGUGUCACCGAUGCAUUCAUUGACAUAUUUAUUUAUUUUUUUUUCUAUGAUGUGUUUCAAUUUUGUUAUCGUUGUAGAGUUAAGGUAAAGUGUGUGUGUGUGUGUGUGUGUGUGUGUGUGUGUGUGUGUGUGUGUAUCUUCCUAUUUUGUAUGAAGCGUUUUUGCGUUAUUUUGAGAUAUUUGACAACAUUUAAGGUUGUUUGUUGCUUAUCAUCAAUGUUUUAAAGGAUCAUAUUUUUUUUUAAGUAUAGUUUGAAUUAAUAAUAAUGAUGAUUGCCAUAUAUUUUUGCCUUGUUUGUUCACGAAUUUGUGGUUAUAUCUAUCUAUCUAUCUAUCUAUCUAUCUAUAUAUAUAUAUAUCUGUGUCCUUGUACACCUACACUAAUACUAUCUAGAUGUAACACUCCUCUGGUCUGCCUUGGUAUGACAUUCACGAGGGCAGCAGCAACAGUCUGUCCACCAUGCGCCGCUCAUCCCUCCCCGCCCUCCCAAACCUGUUUCCCUCACUGGCCCGGGGAGGGGUGGCGGGCAGGUGACAGGAAGUUAUAGUUUUAAUGCCAAGACGAGUAAAAGUUUCUUCGUGUGUGUAAGAGGAGGGAGGUGAGAACACAAUGAGGACAAAUGAGGAGAAGAAGUGAAGGUUACAUCUGUCGCUUCCACUCCUGAUUAAAAUGCUUGAGGUUAUUAAAGUGUCCCUAAAAAUUGAAUUCUGGUCCAGCAUGAUGUAUAAAAAGUGUGGUUAAGGAUUUACUCAAUAUUUUACGAAUAUAUCUGCCGCUUUUACUGCCAGCUAAAAAAAAAAAGAAUUAUAUAUUUCGGAAAUGAUUGA